rnacentral:misc_RNA from 1 species
GAUGAAGAACGUAGCGAAAUGCGAUAAGUAAUGUGAAUUGCAGAAUUCAGUGAAUCAUCGAAUCUUUGAACGCACAUUGCGCCCGCCAGUAUUCUGGCGGGCAUGCCUGUCUGAGCGUCAUUACAACCCUCAUGCCCCUAGGGCGUGGUGUUGGGGAUCGGCCAAAGCCCGCGAGGGACGGCCGGCCCCUAAAUCUAGUGGCGGACCCGUCGUGGCCUCCUCUGCGAAGUAGUGAUAUUCCGCAUCGGAGAGCGACGAGCCCCUGCCGUUAAACCCCCAACUUUCCAAGGUUGACCUCAGAUCAGGUAGGAAUACCCGCUGAACUUAAGCAUAUCAAUAAGCGGAGGA